GACUUCUGAGUUUUGGCCGCCCCUGUUGUGGAUAUCUGGUACCGGCUCAGUAACAAGCAACGGAGUUCCACUCCUCUGGACUACACUCCUUCUUCUAGGCUGAGACUUAACUUUUCCAGAGAAUCGCCUCAGCUGGCGAGCAGCCGCUUGUUGAUUCAAUAAACGCCUUUUAAGGUACAGAGAUGGAUGUAGGCCAACCACUGCAGCCUGGUGAGGCUCCCCUGUGUGCAGCUCAGAACACCUGCCCCGCUGCGCAUUGGCACCCCUAGUCUUUACCAGGCCAAGGAGGAGCAUCUUCUCUCCACCAUGCUUUCACAAGGCCACCGCCCCCUGGGACCAAAUGGGGGAAAAUGAGACGAGGGGGGGCCCUGUUUUUCGCGGGGAGAUCUGCCACCCAAAACAACAUUCCUUAACCAGAAAUCAAAUUACAAGCUGCUGACACGGAGGAAAACUGCCUAUUAAUAUUUUAGUAUGGUUACUGAGUGCAUGACACCCCCGGUAGGGAGCACUCACAUCCAAGACAAAAAGCAUAGUGAUGCACCAA